rnacentral:rRNA from 1 species
UGCCAGCAGCCGCGGUAAUACGUAGGUGGCGAGCGUUGUCCGGAAUCAUUGGGCGUAAAGGGAGCGCAGGCGGGCUUAUCAGUCUUUCUUAAAAGUUCGGGGCUCAACCCCGUGAUGGGAAAGAAACUAUAAGUCUUGAGUACAGGAGAGGAAAGCGGAAUUCCCAGUGUAGCGGUGAAAUGCGUAGAUAUUGGGAGGAACACCAGUGGCGAAGGCGGCUUUCUGGACUGCAACUGACGCUGAGGCUCGAAAGCCAGGGGAGCGAACGGGAUUAGAUA